GUGAGGCGCCUGGUGCGGCUCUCUAGCGGCGUCCUCUAGCGGCGCUUGGUGGAGCCUUCCUGAAAGCCCGACCUCGGAGCCUAAGCGUCCCCUAGUAACCUUCGCAAAAAGGAAGAGAGGGGUUCCCCUUUUGGCCCUGGACCAGUGACUUUGCUGUUUCUUCCUUGGAGAGACCUGGCUUUGGGCGAUGGGGGGAUAAGGGGAUUAGAGCAGUGGCUCUCGUAGGGUGGUCUGAGGGGCCCUGUGGGUCCGAAGAUCCUUUCAAAACUAGUUUCAUAGUAAUGGUAGGAUUUCGUUUCCCCUUCUUACUCUCGCUGAAAUUUUCCAGAGAACUGAUGUGUGAUGACGUCAUCGCUCUCAUGACUAAAGGAAUGUGUGCUUGUAUUGUGUUUUCUAGAAUUUCCUAAGCUUUCCGAAUGUUCCACAUUUGUUGAAAACUACAAACAAACAUAUCCAAGAAUCCCAGUGAAUGCCAAGCAGCAUAAACACAAAGAAAACCACAUCAAGGCACUGCAGAAUCAAAUUUCUCAAAACUAGUGAUACAGAGAAAAUCUUAAGUUAAGACUAAUCACUGGUUUCUCAUCAAAAACAAUGCAAACCAGAAGAUGGUGGAACAACAUCUUUAAAGCAUUGGAAGAAUGCUUUCAACCCAGAAUUUUAUAUCCAGUGAAAAUGUCAUUCAAAGAUGAAGGCAAAAUAAAGACAUUUCAGAUAAGCUAAAGCCAAGAACAUUCAUCACUAGUGACCUUGUACCACAAGGAAUGCUAAAAGAAGUUCUUCAGGUUAAAGGAAAAGGAUACCAGGUGGACACAAGAAUCUAUGCAAAGGAAUGAAGAGUACCAGAAAUGUUUUCUGACAUCAGAAGUGGGAUCCAAAGAAGACCCUCAACAACUCUGAGGCCAGUGAGCAACCACGUGCUGGUACCCACUGGGCCCAUUGAGCUCACCACUGUCUUGCCAACCUUGCAGUCAGCCUGAAUGCUGCUCUCUUUGCAUGUUGAGCUCUUGGAAUUUAUUGUGCAUACCUGUAUUCUGUUUGUUGAAGC